CUGCUCUAUACUGAGAAGAACAUCCUGACUCCAAGUUGAUGAAUUUUACCUGUGUCUCUGCAACUAAGUCUCGCUAUGCAGUUCAGACCGGCCUUGAACUCACUAUGGAGCCCAACUGACCUUGAACUCUCAGUUAUCCUCCUGCCUCAGCCUCCCAAGUGUUGGGAUUAUAGGCCUGCACCAUCAUGCCUGGCAUCAUUAAUAUUUUUUUUAGGGACAUUCAUGUUUGAUUUGUGGCAAUAAUUCACUCAUUUUUAUUGCUUUAUCAUAACUGAUUGUAUAAAUAUACCACAAUUGUAUUUUUGUGGAUAUUUUAUUAUUUAGGCCUUUAUUAAAAAAUGCUGCUAUACACAUUUGCAUACAUAUCUUUGAAUGCAUUUAUGUAAUGUUUCUUUAGGACAUGUCCCUUGGAGUAGAAGUUUUGGGCAAUAAGAUAUGCAUAUGUUCAGCUAUAGCACACACUGCCAAACAGUUUUCCAAAUUAGUAUUCCAAGUUAACCCUCAACAUUUGGUAUUAUCAUUCUUUUUACUUUUAACCAUUCAGGUGGGCGCCUAGUGAUAGAACUCUGCUAUUUUAAUUUGUAUUCUCCCCGUGACUAAUGAUGUUUUCAGUGCCUUUUCCUGUGUUUAUUGACCAUUCAAGCAUCCUGUUUCUAUUAAAUUUUUGUCUUUAGCCCAUUUUUUCAUUGAGUGUUUUAGUUCAUUUUUAUUGAUUUAUAAGUGUUCUUCAUAAGGAUACUUUGACAUAUGUGGGAAUUCAAAAUAUUUAUUUCAUACCGGUGUCUUUUGAUGAGCAAACAUCCUUAAUAUAAAU
ensembl:lncRNA